rnacentral:piRNA from 1 species
UCGAAGUACAGCAAAAAAAACAUGAUGC